GUAGGAAAGAGGGGUGGGCAACAGGAGCUGCGGCUUCUUGUGCCUUAGGGUUCCCUAACCCAGAGCCUUUGGCUCCCUGAGGAUGGCGGUGAGGGAGGACAGGCGCAGGACCCCAGGGACUCCCAGGUCCUCAGGAAGGGAACUGCGAGGCUCCUGAAAACCAGCUCUGUCCUGCUGCUUAAGGCAAGAGCGUCCAGUGGUGUGGGAGCCACACGGAUCGGCCUGGGACACACGGGCCCCCCGGCUGCUGGCCUGGCUCCCCAGCUCUCAGGACAGCAUGCUGCAGUGGGGUCAGCAAGCUUCUGCAAGCCCUGCAGCCCCAGCUCCCGAAGUGGAGAAACCCCGCGGAGUCGGUCCUUCUCAAUGCCAGAACCGUCCGGAAAGGAGAAGCGGAGUGAGGUGAGGAGACUGGACUGCGUCCUCCCGCCAGGUGCAGGCCACAGGCCGCCCCCUUGCCCUGCGCCCCGCUGUCCUCCUCCCAUCCCGGCAGCUGACAGCCCGGCCUUGCUCACCACCUAGGAGCACCCAUGACCAGCCCUGGCUGCACUCGGGCCUCCGCCUCCCUGAUCUGGGAGUCCUGGUUGGUCCUGGAAGGCACCCUGCAGACGGCCCCCUGACAUAGCCUCUCGUGGUCUAGCUCGCCCCAGGCCAGUAGUCUCCAGGUCACGUGCCCGUCGCAGUGAGGGGCAGGGGGCCUCCAGCGGCCUGUCUGGGAGACCCCACCUGCAGGGACCGUGCUGUGGCCCAUGGGUGACGCUUUCUGGGGGAUCUUGGUCCCUCUGCUGCCCUAAUACUCAGGCUCGCACCUUCCCUCCCUGACCCCCCCCCCCACCCCACUCCCAUCUCUGCCUCUGCCCCUCCUGACUCCGGGGUGUCAUAUGGACACGAGGCAGAGGCAUCCUUCAGGGUGCGACUGUCCCGGCGCAUCUGCACCGAAUCACCACCGGCUAGCUGGCUGCUGGGCAGCAGGGAGCAGUCGUUCCAUCUUCCUUGACCAGAGGGAGGCUUCCAGGGCAUUGAGAGGGGCGGUGGCUUAUGGGAUGCUGGCGUGCUCAACGCUGGGCAUCGAACAGUCCAGCCCCUCAAAUCCCCUUUUCAU